rnacentral:rRNA from 1 species
GUUAGGAAUAUUGGACAAUGGGCGCAAGCCUGAUCCAGCAAUGCCGCGUGCAGGAAGAAGGCCUUCGGGUUGUAAACUGCUUUUGUACGGAACGAAACGGUCCUGGUUAAUACCUGGGGCUAAUGACGGUACCGUAAGAAUAAGUACCGGCUAACUACGUGCCAGCAGCCGCGGUAAUACGUAGGGUGCGAGCGUUAAUCGGAAUUACUGGGCGUAAAGCGUGCGCAGGCGGUUUUGUAAGACAGGCGUGAAAUCCCCGGGCUCAACCUGGGAAUUGCGCUUGUGACUGCAAGGCUGGAGUGCGGCAGAGGGGGAUGGAAUUCCGCGUGUAGCAGUGAAAUGCGUAGAUAUGCGGAGGAACACCGAUGGCGAAGGCAAUCCCCUGGGCCUGCACUGACGCUCAUGCACGAAAGCGUGGGGAGCAAACAGGAUUAGAAACCCCGGUAGUCC